rnacentral:rRNA from 1 species
AUGUCUCAAUUUGAUCAUACCUUGGUAUCCAUGUGCAACAGAACACAACAACAAGAUGUAUUCAACAUACUAGGAGUUGUAUCUGGAUCAACACUUUUCUUGGGCUUCAGUAAUUGCACCAGUUUGCAACCGGUUGUGAUAAUGGAGAGAGUUGUUCUUUACCGAGAAAAGGCGGCGGGCAUGUACUCUACCUUGGCCUACACCAUAGCUCAGAUGGCAAUUGAAUUGCCUUAUAUCCUUGUCCAAGUACUCGUCUUUGCCUCGACCGUAUACCCAAUGAUAGGGUUCCAGAUGACCACUGUAAAGUUCUUUUGGUUUGUCCUUUACAUGAUGCUAAGCUUCAUGUAUUACACACUCUAUGGGAUGAUGACACUGGCACUAACACCUAACCAUGAGAUGGCUGCCGGAUUGUCCUUCCUUAUCUACGUAUUUUGGAAUGUAUUCUCCGGCUUCAUCAUUGGAAGAGAGCUGAUCCCAAUAUGGUGGAGGUGGGUGUACUGGGCUAAUCCAGCGGCAUGGACAGUAUACGGGCUCAUGUUCUCACAACUGGGUGAUCGGAUGGAGCUGAUCCGUGUGCCGGGGCAGCCGGACCAAACGGUGCGGGAGUUCCUCGAGGGCUAUCUUGGCCUCGAGGGUCGCUACUUCAACCUUAUCACCUACCUGCACUUGGUCGUCAUCGCCCUCUUUGCCUUCCUCUUCUUCAUCUUGAUCAAGCACCUAAAGUUCGAGCGAAGGUAG